UACGAGGGGUGCGAGCGUUAUUCGGAAUCAUUAGGGCGUAAAGGGUGCGUCGACGGCUUAUUAAGUCAACUGUUUAAUUCUCCGGCCUAACUGGAGGUCAGCGGUAGAAACUGAUAGGCUUGAGGUUGGAAGAGAGGAGUGGAAUUCUCGGAGUAGCGGUAAAAUGCGUAGAUCUCGAGAGGAACACCGAUGGCGAAGGCAGCUCCUUGGUCCAAAUCUGACGUUGAGGCACGAAAGCGUGGGGAGCAAACAGG
rnacentral:rRNA from 1 species